CCCGCUCUCGGCUGCUCGGCGCCCGCUCUGCAGCUUCGGCCCGUCUUGGCCUAGCCUGGGCUUUCCCCCCUCCCCUCCCCAAGUCGCCCCUCUUGGUUGUGUGCACGGCUCGGGAAGGCUCGCCGGGGCUGGGGAGCGAGCGCGAGCGCGCGCGCGUGUGUGUGAGUGUGUGUGUGUGUGUGUGGGGAGGGAGGAGACUCGGUUCCGGUGGCGGAGGAGAAGGAGGAGGAGACGAAGGUUGGCGAUGGUGGCGGUAGCAGAGCGGAGAGGGCCUUUCCGGGAGGCAACUGGACUUUCUUGUUUUUGUCUUUGAGGACUUUUCGCUUCUUCAUCCGAGAAGUUUCUUCAGCUCUGACUGGAUGGUGGGGGAAUGGAAGGAUUAAUAUUCCUUGCAGACAAGCUGGUCAUUUGCAUCCUUUUAAGAGAGUCGUUCAGGAACUUGGAGGUUUUAUCUGUGUCCUCAGGGUCAUCUGAGUGGUGCAAAUGGUAAUGGUUCCUGUAGUGUGCAGUUUUUUCCCCCCUGGAAAUCUGUUCAUACUCCCACACCAUUCAAAGGGUGUUCAUCCCAAGGUGCAAGCUAGAAAUCUUCGCCAUUUAGGUUGAUGUUAUACAGUGGAAGAGGACAGGUGCCUCUGUAGGAUUAACCGAUGGUCUGAACUAUGAUAAAGCACCGAUUUCUCUUUCUUUCUUUCUUUCUUUCUUUCUUUCUCUCUCUCUCUCUCUCUCUCUCUCUCUCUCUCUCUCCCUCCCUCCCUCUCCUUCCUGGAAUUUUUUGGAGCCUGGCGGUAUUCACACUUUCAGGUGAGGAAGGUUUUUAAACACACCGGAUUGAAGUUAAAUUUGGCAUACGGGACCACAGGUGGUGGGGCUUCACGUUUUUUUUCCCAAAUAAUCAUUGUCCCAAGUCCAGUUUCAGAAUUUCCUAUUUUACAAACUGUUACAGGUGAUUACCCGCCUCUUCAAUUGAAAAAAGUAUUUCCCCCCCCAUUAUAUACCCAAUUGUCCCAAUUAUCUUAAAAUCCCCGGCAACUUUUCUCAACUAGUUACUGUACACCGAACUUUUACAUGGGAACAAGUGGUAUUUAAGUUGGAUAGUUGGUAUGUUCAAAUAAUGAACAGUGGUAGAGAGGAUCAAAAAUGUGGGCAUAGUUGAGUAAUUGCAGCUCCGAGUCUGUCUUUUAUCACUUCCUCCUAGCGCAAUUAUCAAGCAAAAUGCAGGCGGCUACAUCAACGUUGAUAGGUUCAAGAUUUUACUGAGAAGAGCUUGACUGCCUAAAGGAAAGUGAUAGCGGAACAGAUACACAUUACAACUUUUCUCUUUCCUGGAGGAGAAAAGAGAAUAUCUGUCUAUAAAGAUGCCCUCCCCUUUCAACAGUCAGACAUUCAUGAUCGUUCUUAGGCAACUAGAUUUCUAAACUACAUUUUGAAAAUCCAUACAGUGGGGGGGAAAGUUCAGAAUCUAAAUCUGCACAUUGUGGAUCUAUAAGUCUAUGAAUGUGAACAUUUUAGUGAAGGAACUGAGGAAAACUGAUAAUAGAACUUUCAGGAAGUAUUAUUUUAUUUAUUUAUUAUUGCGAUUUAUAUGCCGCCCUUCUCCCUGGGGACUCAAGGCGGCUUACAAAAUGACAAAAUCAGCAACCCUAUUAAAAACAGUUUAAAAUUAUGACAGUGUACCCCCAAACGGUACCUCUUGUUUUCAAAAGUUCCUCCAUAAAAACUAGCUAAAGACAAAGGACACAGAUUUUCUUUAUCCUUGUAUCUCAAUUAAUGGCUACUGCCAGAUUUGUACUGCUAUAAAUUACUUUAAGAACAAAAUUGGAAAUUACUAAGUCAGUGAUUGCUUAUUUUUCUACACUACUACUCCCUUUAUUUUAUGUGCAUUAGAAUUUCACUCCUUUCCUUGGGCAGCAAUCACACAAAAUGGGCUUUCCUUAACACUAAUUUUUAAAUUGGGAGAGAGAAUGAUGGAGUUUUAAAUGUAGGAGAUGACCAGGCUGAGCCUGAGGGGAGGGAUCAAGUACAUCAUUAGUUUAGAGUCUAAAUCCAUCCCAUCUUGAAUUCUGUUGACUCUUAUCUACCACCAAUUUGCUUUUACAUUAGUAGUUCAUAUUCUUCUGGAAAGUGUUAGCAUGCAUUAAACCUGAAUUCAUUUGAACUGCCUUAACUCCUGAUCUCAUGCGUGACAGCUCCAAUUGUUUUAUGUUAGAGGGCAUAUUUGGAAUUUUGAAAAGGUAUUGUGAGUGCUGUUGUAAAAUGAUUGCACUGUGGGAGAGCCCAUUCAUGGUUAUAACAUUUUUUUAAAAUCCCCCCCCCAAGCAAAAUAGUGUGCAUAAAAAAUAAGUCUUCAAAUCCUGAAUAAAAUAUCCAUAAUAUGUCAGAGGUUUGUAAGGCAAAUCCUGAAUUCACAACUUUUAAAUCCAGUAAAACUCCAAUAAUCUAUUCUAUCUUGUCAGUUAUGUGACCUUGAAUUAUGAAAAACCAAGUGGGAAGACACUUCCUCAGUUUUUGGACAGGAGACUACCCAAACCCUCUCUGGAUUUUUUCUUUUACUCUCAACAUACAGCACUAUUUGAUAUAGUUUAUGCUAUCCCUUUAAGAAAUACCCUUCCCAUGUUGUCAUGCAUAUUAAAAAUAUACAUUCCUUACAA